CCUAUGGACAGCUAGAAAAUUGCCUCCCCCACGACCCUCCCCAGGGGCUAGUGGCAGGCUGAGAGCCACAGCAGAGGGAGGGGGAAGCUCCAACAGUCUCUUUUGCCUGAGGAGCCCAAGAACUUUGCUAAGGCAUGCUGCUGGCGGGAAGGCACUGGAGCAAGGCGACGUGUAGUUGGAGCCGUACUGGGGAGGCAGCUGGCCCCGUGGAUGGCAGGCUGAGAGGAACCCACAUCGAUCAGCUCCAGCGCCCCUUGCCCUGGGGUAUUAUGCCGUCGCCCUAGGAUGCACGCUGGUUAAUAAACACCCCAGAUGCAGCCCUGCUGUCCUGGGAAAGACAAAGGGAUUGUGGAUGCUGACUCAUGGCAAACCAGGAGCUGAAUUCACUGCAUGUGCAGUGUGUCCGUACGCCUGUGUGCGUCUGGUGUCGCUGUGCUGAUCCACUAAUGACAAAUGGACACAGGACAUCAGACCCUCUCCCCAUUGUGGGGAGAACCACCCAGACUCUGACAGAGCCCCAGGGCCUGGUGUCUCUCUCUCGCGCUCUCUUUUUAACACUUCGGCAACACUUGUAGAGCCUAUUGUGCCUAGACUUGUUGAAUGGCGCGUGUGUAG